rnacentral:rRNA from 1 species
AGAGUUUGAUCCUGGCUCAGGAUGAACGCUAGCGGCAGGCCUAACACAUGCAAGUCGAACGGCAGCGGGAAGGAGCUUGCUCCUUUGCCGGCGAGUGGCGCACGGGUGCGUAACGCGUAUACAACCUACCUUAUACAGGGGUAUAGCCCAGGGAAACUUGGAUUAACACCCCAUAGUAAUAUGUUUUGGCAUCAUUACAUAUUUAAAACUACGGUGGUAUAAGAUGGGUAUGCGUCCCAUUAGCUUGUUGGUGUGGUAACGGCACACCAAGGCAACGAUGGGUAGGGGCCCUGAGAGGGGGAUCCCCCACACUGGUACUGAGACACGGACCAGACUCCUACGGGAGGCAGCAGUGAGGAAUAUUGGACAAUGGGCGGGAGCCUGAUCCAGCCAUGCCGCGUGCAGGAAGACUGCCCUAUGGGUUGUAAACUGCUUUUAUACGGGAAGAAACCCACCUACGUGUAGGUGGCUGACGGUACCGUAAGAAUAAGGACCGGCUAACUCCGUGCCAGCAGCCGCGGUAAUACGGAGGGUCCGAGCGUUAUCCGGAAUCAUUGGGUUUAAAGGGUCCGCAGGCGGCCAGAUAAGUCAGUGGUGAAAUUCCGUGGCUCAACCACGGAACUGCCAUUGAUACUGUUUGGCUUGAAUCAGUUCGAGGAUGCCGGAAUGUGUGGUGUAGCGGUGAAAUGCAUAGAUAUCACACAGAACACCAAUUGCGAAGGCAGGUGUCCAGAACUGUAUUGACGCUGAUGGACGAAAGCGUGGGUAGCGAACAGGAUUAGAUACCCUGGUAGUCCACGCCGUAAACGAUGGUCACUAGCUGUCCGGACUUAGGUCUGGGUGGCCAAGCGAAAGUGAUAAGUGACCCACCUGGGGAGUACGUUCGCAAGAAUGAAACUCAAAGGAAUUGACGGGGGCCCGCACAAGCGGUGGAGCAUGUGGUUUAAUUCGAUGAUACGCGAGGAACCUUACCAGGGCUUAAAUGUAGGUUGCAUUAGCUAGAGAUAGCUAUUUCUUCGGACUACUUACAAGGUGCUGCAUGGUUGUCG